GCUGGGUGAAGCCGGAGUUGAGGCAGCCACGGGCUAUGCGCCUCCAGAGGAGAUCACGGCUACUGAGGAAGCGCAGGCGGCGGCAGACCUGGCCCAGGCGGCCCAAGGCCUGCGCGUCCAGGAGCCUGGAGUACUGACAACGCAGAAGGAUUCUGGUCCAAAAUGGCAAAGUAGCCCUCAACAGACAGUGGAGCAGGAAAAUAUGAGUCUAGUGUUGUGUUAUUCUUUCUUAUAGUACUUUCCACUCUACAGAAGCCUGAGAUGCUUGGGGAAACUCCUCCCUCAAAAUGAAAAAAUAGAUAAACUGUAAGAAGUGCAUCAUCUGCCUAGAAUGCUUUGAACAGGUAUCACUUACUUACCCACCACAGCCUACAUCUCCUUUUGCACAGUGGAGUAGGAAAAUAAAUGUCAGCAUAUAAUGAGGUUACCAUAGCAUACAGGCCUUUAGACAGUACUCGCAUCCUGUUCCAGAAGGUCAUCUUGUCUGUGUAAUCUCAAGCACUCAAAUAUUCAUACAACUAAAUCACCAACUCUGGAAGCUUAUACGUGAGACAUUCAAAACUGCUGGCUGAGGAACUGUCUGGUCUACUUACACUGAGUUUCAAUACACCCUGGAAGUCAGGGAAGUUCCAGAAGGCAGCAAAUGUUUUAUCAGCAUUUAUAAUGAAUGAAUCAGAUGGCCCAAGUAAUUAAAAAUUUCUCAACCUAAGUUUGAGCUCAGGUGAAAUAACAGCACAUCUGGUACAGGACUUAAGUAGCAAACUGAAAGGGAGUUUGCUGGAAGAAUUUUGCUUAACAUGAGAUUACGGAAACUUGGUGUGAAUGCAGUUUUAUAUCAAUAUCUUUUUGAUUACAUUAAACAUAGCUCUUUUGUAAUAGACUUUGGCAAUGUCUGAAACAUUAAAUUUAUUAAAAACUGAAUGACUUCUCCAUCCUAAA